AGUGAACGCUGGCGGUAGGCCUAACACAUGCAAGUCGAACGGCAGCACAGUAAGAGCUUGCUCUUACGGGUGGCGAGUGGCGGACGGGUGAGGAAUACAUCGGAAUCUACUUUUUCGUGGGGGAUAACGUAGGGAAACUUACGCUAAUACCGCAUACGACCUACGGGUGAAAGCAGGGGAUCUUCGGACCUUUCGCGAUUGAAUGAGCCGAUGUCGGAUUAGCUAGUUGGCGGGGUAAAGGCCCACCAAGGCGACGAUCCGUAGCUGGUCUGAGAGGAUGAUCAGCCACACUGGAACUGAGACACGGUCCAGACUCCUACGGGAGGCAGCAGUGGGGAAUAUUGGACAAUGGGCGCAAGCCUGAUCCAGCCAUACCGCGUGAGUGAAGAAGGCCUUCGGGUUGUAAAGCCCUGUUGUUGGGAAAGAAAAGCAGCAGGUUAAUACCCCGCUGUUCUGACGGUACCCAAAGAAUAAGCACCGGCUAACUUCGUG
rnacentral:rRNA from 1 species